rnacentral:tRNA from 1 species
UCGAAAUCGGUAGACGCUACGGACUUAAAAUCCGUUGGCUUUAAAGACCAUGAGGGUUCAAGUCCCUCUACCCCCA